GGGUUCCUUAACCAAGCCACUGCCUAUGAGUCGCCGGCUCAUUCUUCAACAGGCACGCGGUCAAACACAUAGUUAA